rnacentral:rRNA from 1 species
UACGUAGGGUGCAAGCGUUAAUCGGAAUUACUGGGCGUAAAGCGUGCGCAGGCGGCUUUGCAAGACAGUUGUGAAAUCCCCGGGCUCAACCUGGGAACUGCAUCUGUGACUGCAUCGCUGGAGUACGGCAGAGGGGGAUGGAAUUCCGCGUGUAGCAGUGAAAUGCGUAGAUAUGCGGAGGAACACCGAUGGCGAAGGCAAUCCCCUGGGCCUGUACUGACGCUCAUGCACGAAAGCGUGGGGAGCAAACAGG